AAAGCUAACAACGAAAACUUUUAACUUUCGAGCAAUAUUACAAAUCUCCAAAGAUUUCUUAGAAUAUAUCUAUCGCGUGAGCGACGCCAAUUUAUCCGUAGUUUGCUUUGUGAUGUCACGUAAGCCGGGCAAUAAUUUUUCCCAUUCAUUGAUAUCUCAAGACAAAUAUUACUGACAGAGUUACUCUUAACUUUGAUAAAGGAAAAAAUGUAAAGUACAAAUAUUUGAAGACCCCUCUUUCCACUGUAAGUAUGAAUAACGAAAGCGAGGCUAGUAGAUUUCAAAGACUUCUGGGCCAAUCAGCUUGCAUGUUCAGCGUCUGGCUGCAAAGCAACGGCUUGGGGUUUGUGAAGAGUUUUGUGCUGUUGUUUUGAUCUUAAUCCACAACUGCGGCGAAAUUUUCAGCAUUAAGGAUGGCUACAGAGAAUGAUUGAAUUGAAUUUGUUGAUGAAAGGGCAUUUCUAGACCGGUACACUGAUGAUGACAUCAGAAGGCCGCAAGUCUCCUGUUCAUGUACACGUGGAUAGAGAAACGCCUGUUCAUGUCCAUCUCAAGAAAAAGAAAAAGGGAAAAGCUGGAGUACCGACAGCAGUUGAGCAACGACUAAAGACUAAGAGACUCAGUGGUUUAGCAAAAUCUUCUG